UGCUGUCGCUUGUAAUAAACG
rnacentral:piRNA from 1 species